UUUCCGUAGUGAACCUGCGGAAGGAUCAUUG
rnacentral:rRNA from 1 species